AGUGAACGCUGGCGGUAUGCCUAACACAUGCAAGUCGAGCGGCAGCACAGUAAGAUCUUGCUCUUACGGGUGGCGAGUGGCGGACGGGUGAGGAAUACAUCGGAAUCUACUUUUUCUUGGGGGACAACGUAGGGAAACUUACGCUAAUACCGCAUACGACCUACGGGUUAAAGCAGGGGAUCUUCGGACCUUGCGCGAUUGAAUGAGCCGAUGUCGGAUUAGCUAGUUGGCUGGGUAAAGGCCCACCAAGGCGACGAUCCGUAGCUGGUCUGAGAGGAUGAUCAGCCACACUGGAACUGAGACACGGUCCAGACUCCUACGGGAGGCAGCAGUGGGGAAUAUUGGACAAUGGGCGCAAGCCUGAUCCAGCCAUGCCGCGUGAGUGAAGAAGGCCUUCGGGUUGUAAAGCCCUUUUGUUGGGAAAGAAAAACAGCAGGUUAAUCCCCCGCUGUUCUGACGGUACCCAAAGAAUAAGCCCCGGCUAACUUCGUG
rnacentral:rRNA from 1 species